rnacentral:rRNA from 1 species
GACGAACGCUGGCGGCGUGCUUAACACAUGCAAGUCGUACGGUAAGGCCCUUUAGGGGGUCCACGAGUGGCGAACGGGUGAGUAACACGUGAGUAACCUGCCCACAACUUUGGGAUAACGCUAGGAAACUGGUGCUAAUACUGGAUAUGUGCUCCUGCUGCAUGGUGGGGGUUGGAAAGCUCCGGCGGUUGUGGAUGGACGGGCGGCCUAUCAGCUUUUUGGUGGGAUAGUGGCCUACCAAGGCGGCGACGGGUAGCCGGCCUGAGAGGGUGACCGGCCACAGUGGGACUGAGAGACGGCCCAGACUCCUACGGGAGGCAGCAGUGGGGAAGAUGGCACAACGGGCGCAAGCCCGAGGCAGAAACGCCGCGGGCGGGAUGACGGCCUUCGGGUUGGAAACCGAUUUCAGCAGGGACGAAGCUUUUUGUGACGGUACCUGAAGAAGAAGCACCGGCUAACUACGUG